CAGCCGCCGCGGUAAUACGUAGGUGGCAAGCGUUGUCCGGAAUUAUUGGGCGUAAAGGGCUCGCAGGCGGUUUCUUAAGUCUGAUGUGAAAGCCCCCGGCUCAACCGGGGAGGGUCAUUGGAAACUGGGAAACUUGAGUGCAGAAGAGGAGAGUGGAAUUCCACGUGUAGCGGUGAAAUGCGUAGAGAUGUGGAGGAACACCAGUGGCGAAGGCGACUCUCUGGUCUGUAACUGACGCUGAGGGGCGAAAGCGUGGGGAGCGAACAGGAUUAGAUACCCCGGUAGUCCCUGUCUCUUAUAC
rnacentral:rRNA from 1 species